rnacentral:rRNA from 1 species
GAUGAACGCUGGCGGCGUGCCUAAUACAUGCAAGUCGAGCGAACAGACGAGGAGCUUGCUCCUCUGACGUUAGCGGCGGACGGGUGAGUAACACGUGGAUAACCUACCUAUAAGACUGGGAUAACUUCGGGAAACCGGAGCUAAUACCGGAUAAUAUAUUGAACCGCAUGGUUCAAUAGUGAAAGACGGUUUUGCUGUCACUUAUAGAUGGAUCCGCGCCGCAUUAGCUAGUUGGUAAGGUAACGGCUUACCAAGGCGACGAUGCGUAGCCGACCUGAGAGGGUGAUCGGCCACACUGGAACUGAGACACGGUACAGACUCCUACGGGAGGCAGCAGUAGGGAAUCUUCCGCAAUGGGCGAAAGCAUGACGGAGCAACGCCGCGUGAGUGAUGAAGGUCUUCGGAUCGUAAAACUCUGUUAUUAGGGAAGAACAAAUGUGUAAGUAACUAUGCACGUCUUGACGGUACCUAAUCAGAAAGCCACGGCUAACUACGUG